rnacentral:rRNA from 1 species
UACAGAGGGGGCAAGCGUUGUUCGGAAUUACUGGGCGUAAAGGGCGCGUAGGCGGCCUUCUAAGUCGAACGUGAAAUCCCUGGGCUCAACCCAGGAACUGCGUCCGAUACUGGGAGGCUUGAAUCCGGGAGAGGGAUGUGGAAUUCCAGGUGUAGCGGUGAAAUGCGCAGAUAUCAGGAGGAACACCGGUGGCGAAGGCGGCUUCCUGGACCGACACUGACGCUGAGGCGCGAAAGCUAGGGGAGCAAACGGG